rnacentral:lncRNA from 1 species
AACAGCAAGUGACAAGACUGAGGCAGGCAGAGUGGCCGAGCGGGGUAGAGGGGCUGGAGACAGCAGUCAUGUGGAUGUUUUGGCACAGGGUCUGAAGGAGCCUGAUUGUUGAAGCAAAACUUCCCGUUUACCUACUGAUUGGAGGGUUUUUGAGCAUCUGGAAGCCAGAACAAAAAUGAAGGAGGGAAAGCUGCUGAGAAAACAUGGAAACACAGAAAGAGGAAAGUAAAAAGUACCCAGGGAGCCUCUGAGUUUGUGUGUGCACGUG